AUGUCCUUCAUCUUCCUAUUUAGUGCCUAUUAGCCUAUACACUUGUAGCAUGCAUAGUUUUAUUACGUGAUUGACAUUACGCAGUGCUACGUGAUAAGCAUGCGUAUAAUUGCGUAUCCAUUAAGAAGAAUGAAUAGAGUUAUCAACCAAGUUAAAUCCAGAGUUCUGAAUAGUACGUAAACAGAAAUAGGGAAAUCACCACUAUGAAUAAAAAAGAGGAUCAUUUCGAAAAAAAAAUUUGUAAACGCCAUUUUUAUGUGCGAUGAAAAACAUUAAACGCUACAGUCCCAUACUAGCAUGCAGGUCUUCAGGCGGGUCACGAAUGCCGGCUUGUUACGCUAAUUUUGCUUGGCUGUAUGGCAGAUUCGAUCAAAGUAUCAUGUCCUUCGAUCUUCACAAUGUUAUAGGGUACUACUUGGUAAAGCAGUAACGAUGACCUUUCAGCUGCGAAAUAGCUGAUUCAAUCAAAGAUGGGUCACCCGUAUACCAUCCGCAUCUUUAUUUGCUUUCUUCCUCUGCGCUUAGUUUUCACAAGAACUUCUUCACCUUAUUUGACUUGCUUUUUAGAGCAGCAGCAGCAUCGCUGUUUACGCCCAGUGGUCAGUGUGUCUUGUCGGCUAAAAUAAUUGAGAGAAAGCGAUACGUCAACACAUAUUGGGUGUUAUCAAUUUUGUCGAGUUUUCGGUGUUUCACGUUGGCACUCCGGUUGCAGUUUGGCUGGGCGCUAUUCGUCGGUGGUCGAUGCGUUCAUGAUGAACAUCCAAGGGCAUUGAUCCGGUGGGAGAUGAAUAAGGGGGCGUUAUUGACGUAGUCGAUGUCGGUGGGUUUCGCUGAUGUGUGGGGAGGGACGCGGUGUCUGAUCUGCGCCAUCCCGCAAAUCUAAACGAUAGCCCCUGUUUGUUUUCAACAAGGAAAAGUAUAACAAACAUUUAAAGCAUACGAUCAAGUUUCUCGUUGUCUUAGGGGGAUAGGGUUACACGUCGAUCCCAAUUUCUCAGAACUUCCUGUGUUUUUCCACGAAACGCAGUUGCUGAAUGUGCUAACGAAGAGACGGGGAAAACCAACUCUGCUGAAUCGCCAUUCCUCUCAGCGCUUUCUAUACACGGACGUACUUUCUCCAUCUGCUGCAGUUUCCCUAGUGAAAAAAAAAUGCAUUUUGAGAAGAAGGAUUUCGCUCGAGCGCGUGUACAGACUAUGGCAUACGUUCUCACACACUUGUGUACCAUCGUUUAAGGAUUUCUAGGUUUUUUGUGUACCAAGUUCUCUCAUUUUUUUAGAGAAAAAAAAAACAAUGAAUUACACGUUGUUACGUUGUU